CACGUAGUUAGCCGUGGCUUUCUGAUUAGGUACCGUCAAGAUGCGCACAGUUACUUACACAUUUGUUCUUCCCUAAUAACAGAGUUUUACGAGCCGAAACCCUUCAUCACUCACGCGGCGUUGCUCCGUCAGGCUUUCGCCCAUUGCGGAAGAUUCCCUACUGCUGCCUCCCGUAGGAGUCUGGACCGUGUCUCAGUUCCAGUGUGGCCGAUCACCCUCUCAGGUCGGCUACGUAUCGUCGCCUUGGUAAGCCGUUACCUUACCAACUAGCUAAUACGGCGCGGGUCCAUCUAUAAGUGAUAGCAAAACCAUCUUUCACUUUAGAACCAUGCGGUUCUAAAUGUUAUCCGGUAUUAGCUCCGGUUUCCCGAAGUUAUCCCAGUCUUAUAGGUAGGUUACCCACGUGUUACUCACCCGUCCGCCGCUAACUUCAAAGGAGCAAGCUCCUUAUCUGUUCGCUCGACUUGCAUGUAUUAGGCACGCCGCCAGCGUUCAUCCUGAGCCAGGAUCAAACUCU
rnacentral:rRNA from 1 species